UCCCGUUGAUCCUGCGGGACCUGACUGCUAUCGGAUUGGUACUAAGCCAUGCGAGUCGUUGUAGCAAUACAAGGCAGACUGCUCAGUAACACGUAGUUAACCUAACCUAUGGACGGGGAUAACCUCGGGAAACUGAGAAUAAUACCCGAUAGAUCACGGUGCCUGGAAUGGCCCGUGGUCCAAAUGAUUUAUCGCCGUAGGAUGGGACUGCGGCCUAUCAGCUAGUUGGUGAGGUAAUGGCCCACCAAGGCUAUAACAGGUACGGGCUCUGAGAGGAGGGGCCCGGAGAUGGGUACUGAGACACGGACCCAGGCCCUAUGGGGCGCAGCAGGCGAGAAACCUUUGCAAUGUGCGAAAGCACGACAAGGUUAAUCCGAGUGUCUCCUGCUAAAGGAGUCUUUUGCCGGUCAUAGAACCACCGGUGAAUAAGGGGUGGGCAAGUUCUGGUGUCAGCCGCCGCGGUAAAACCAGCACCUCGAGUGGUCAGGAGGUUUAUUGGGCCUAAAGCAUCCGUAGCCGGCUGCUCAAGUUUUCGGUUAAAUCUAUGCGCUCAACGUAUAGGCCGCCGAAAAUACUGGGCAGCUAGGGAGUGGGAGAGGUACACGGUACUCAAUAGGAAGGGGUAAAAUCCUUUGAUCUAUUGAUGACCACCUGUGGCGAAGGCGGUGUACCAGAACACGUUCGACGGUGAGGGAUGAAAGCUGGGGGAGCAAACCGGAUUAGAUACCCGGGUAGUCCCAGCUGUAAACGAUGCAGACUCGGUGAUGCAUUGGCUUGUGGCCAAUGCAGUGCCGCAGGGAAGCCGUUAAGUCUGCCGCCUGGGAAGUACGUACGCAAGUAUGAAACUUAAGGAAUUUGGC
rnacentral:rRNA from 1 species